rnacentral:misc_RNA from 1 species
CAAGGAACCCUACGGUAUUACUCCUCGGAGUAUUGCCCUAGGUUAUUCACAACCCUUUGUUGUCCGACUCUGUUGCCUCCGGGGCGACCCUGCCUUCGGGCGGGGGCUCCGGGUGGACACUUCAAACUCUUGCGUAACUUUGCAGUCUGAGUAAACUUAAUUAAUAAAUUA